GAUGAACGCUGGCGGCGUGCCUAAUACAUGCAAGUCGAGCGAACAGACGAGGAGCUUGCUCCUCUGACGUUAGCGGCGGACGGGUGAGUAACACGUGGAUAACCUACCUAUAAGACUGGGAUAACUUCGGGAAACCGGAGCUAAUACGGGAUAAUAUAUUGAACCGCAUGGGUCAAUAGUGAAAGACGGUUUUGCUGUCACUUAUAGAUGGAUCCGCGCCGCAUUAGCUAGUUGGGAAGGUAACGGCUUAUCAAGGCAACGAUGCGUAGCCGACCUGAGAGAGUGAUCGGCCACCCUGGAACUGAGACACGGUCCAGACUCCUACGAGAGGCAGCAGUAGGGAAUCUUCCGCAAUGGGCGAAAGCCUGACGGAGCAACGCCGCGUGAGUGACGAAGGUCUUCGGAUCGUAAAACUCUGUUAUUAGGGAAGAACAAAUGUGUAAGUAACUAUGCACGUCUUGACGGUACCUAAUCAGAAAGCCACGGCUAACUACGUG
rnacentral:rRNA from 1 species